UACGGAGGGUGCAAGCGUUUAAUCGGAAUUACUGGGCGUAAAGCGCACGUAGGUGGUUUGCUAAGUCAGCUGUGAAAUCCCCGGGCUCAACCUGGGCACUGCAGUUGAAACUGGCAAGCUAGAGUAGGGUAGAGGGGUGUGGAAUUCCAGGUGUAGCGGUGAAAUGCGUAGAUAUCUGGAGGAACAUCAGUGGCGAAGGCGACACCCUGGACUCAU
rnacentral:rRNA from 1 species